UACGGGGGGUGCGAGCGUUGUCCGGAUUCACUGGGCGUAAAGGGCGCGUAGGCGGCUUUGUAAGUCGGGGGUGAAAGCCUGUGGCUCAACCACGGAAUUGCCUUCGAUACUGCAUGGCUUGAGACCGGAAGAGGUUAGUGGAACUGCGAGUGUAGAGGUGAAAUGCGUAGAUAUUGGGAGGAACACCGAUGGCGAAGGCAGCCCCCUGGGCUAACACUGACGCUCAGGCACGAAAGCGUGGGG
rnacentral:rRNA from 1 species